UAAUGAGAUAUUUUCUAUAACAUGGUUGA
rnacentral:piRNA from 1 species